rnacentral:rRNA from 1 species
AUUGAACGCUGGCGGCAGGCCUAACACAUGCAAGUCGAGCGGUAGAGAGGUGCUUGCACCUCUUGAGAGCGGCGGACGGGUGAGUAAUGCCUAGGAAUCUGCCUGGUAGUGGGGGAUAACGCUCGGAAACGGACGCUAAUACCGCAUACGUCCUACGGGAGAAAGCAGGGGACCUUCGGGCCUUGCGCUAUCAGAUGAGCCUAGGUCGGAUUAGCUAGUUGGUGAGGUAAUGGCUCACCAAGGCGACGAUCCGUAACUGGUCUGAGAGGAUGAUCAGUCACACUGGAACGGGGACACGGUACAGACUCCUACGGGAGGCAGCAGUGGGGAAUAUUGGACAAUGGGCGAAAGCCUGAUCCAGCCAUGCCGCGUGUGUGAAGAAGGUCUUCGGAUUGUAAAGCACUUUAAGUUGGGAGGAAGGGUCGUUACCUAAUACGUGACGAUUUUGACGUUACCGACAGAAUAAGCACCGGCUAACUCUGUGCCAGCAGCCGCCGUAAAAC